rnacentral:lncRNA from 1 species
GGCUGCGGAGGGGGCGGGGGACAGGGACAGGAACAGGGGGCGUCCCCGGGGCCACGGAAGCCGCGAGACGCCCAGGAGCUGCUGCGCGCGGGGUGACCGGGACAACUGUGCCUGUCCACCCGAGGCACAGGGAGUGGCCGCCUCGUGCUCUCUCGGACUGUGCUGUUCCGUGGUGUUCCAGACACGGACGCCCGCGGCCAAAUUCCUCUCUCGUGCGUUAUAAGCCAGAGGGCAGCGAGCUGAUCCCACAGCCUGAAGUCCUGCCUGCCUGCUUCACACACCAGAAAAUUCUAAAGAUGUCUCAAAACCUGACAACUGCUUGAACUCUCUGAAAGAUACUUUUUGUCCCUCCUGACUCUUGUGUCAAUUUCCCCUUGAAACUGCCUACUCUGCCACCCUACCUUAGAGAGCUUCUCUCUCUCUCUCUCUCUCUCUCUCUCUCUCUCUCUCUCUCUCUCUCUCUCUCAUUGCCAAUUAGAGUUACGAUUAUUUGUAUUAAACAUCACACACAUCAUUCACAAUUCACACAAGUCUGACAAACAAACAAACAAACAAACAAACAAAACAGAACGUGUGGCGGCGGGUGGCACAUGCCUUUAGUCCCAGCUCUUCACUAGAGAGGCAAAGGCAGGGGGAUCUCUGUGAGUUGGAGACCAGCCUAAUCUACAGAGCACCAGGACACCCGGGGAGACACAGAGAAAGACUGUCUCGAAAAAAAAAAAAAAAAGCAAAAAUCUCUCAAGUAAACAUGGCUUACUUGCUGGCCCCUCUCAGAAGCAGAACAGGGUGUCUGAAGACACGGGCAGUUUUCUGUGAUCAAUUUCUGUCACUAACUUCUCGAGUGUGGCUUCCACAUACUCCAUCUUACCCAGGCACACAUACACACUCCCUUAACCCUGGAGGAAAACACCUAAAACUAACAUUGAGACUCUCCCCAAAAAAGACAAUGAAUGAAGUCUUCCCAGAUGUUGCCAGAGAACCGUCUAAAGCGUCUGGAGAGAGCUCUGUAGUCAUGAGGCAGAUCUGUUUACUGUCUGGACUGCAAUGCACCAAUGGAAAGUAGCCCUGGC